rnacentral:rRNA from 1 species
AUUGAACGCUGGCGGCAGGCCUAACACAUGCAAGUCGAGCGAGCGGCGGACGGGUGCGUAAUGCCUAGGAAUCUGCCUGUUCGUGGGGGAUAACGUCCGGAAACGGGCGCUAAUACCGCAUCCGCUUGAAUGAUCCGCGGUCGGCUUAGCUAGUUGGCGGGGUAAAGGCCCACCAAGGCGACGAUCCGUAGCUGGUCUGAGAGGAUGAUCAGCCACACUGGAACUGAGACACGGUCCAGACUCCUACGUGAGGCAGCAGUGGGGAAUAUUGGACAAUGGGCGCAAGCCUGAUCCAGCCAUACCGCGUGGGUGAAGAAGGCCUUCGGGUUGUAAAGCCCUUUUGUUGGGAAAGCGGUACCCAAAGAAUAAGCACCGGCUAACUUCGUGCCAGCAGCCGCGGUAAUAC